GACGGUACCUGAGGAAUAAGCAUCGGCUAACUCCGUGCCAGCAGCCGCGGUAAUACGGAGGAUGCAAGCGUUAUCCGGAAUGAUUGGGCGUAAAGGGUCCGCAGGUGGCUAUGUAAGUCUGCUGUUAAAUAGUCAUGCUCAACAUGAUCAAGGCAGUGGAAACUACAAGGCUAGAGUGCGUUCGGGGCAGAGGGAAUUCCUGGUGUAGCGGUGAAAUGCGUAGAUAUCAGGAAGAACACCGGUGGCGAAAGCGCUCUGCUAGGCCGCAACUGACACUGAGGGACGAAAGCUAGGGGAGCGAAUGGGAU
rnacentral:rRNA from 2 species